AGCAGCCGCGGUAAUUCCAGCUCCAAUAGCGUAUAUUAAAGUUGUUGCAGUUAAAAGCUCGUAGUUGAAUUUCGGGAUUGACCCAUCGGUCGUGCCUUAAGGGGUAUGAACUGGUGUAGUCAAUUUCUCACCUUCUGGAGAACCGCGAUGUCCUUAAUUGGGUGCCGCGAGGAACCAGGACCUUUACUUUGAAAAAAUUAGAGUGUUUAAAGCAGGCAUUUUUGCUUGAAUACAUUAGCAUGGAAUAAUAAAAUAGGACGGCAUGAUUCUAUUUUGUUGGUUUCUAGGAUCACCGUAAUGAUUAAUAGGGAUAGUUGGGGGCAUUAGUAUUCAAUUGUCAGAGGUGAAAUUCUUGGAUUUAUUGAAGACUAACUACUGCGAAAGCAUUUGCCAAGGAUGUUUUCAUUAAUCAAGUACGAAAGUUAGGGAUCGAAGACGAUCAGAUACCGUCGUAGUCUUAACCAUAAACUAUAGCCGACUAGGAAUCAGACGAUGUUAUUUUUAAUGACUCGUUUGGCAC
rnacentral:rRNA from 1 species